UGGAAACAGUGGAAAAGUUCUUGACAAUCCUCCCCUACAACUUACAAAUUGAAUGCCAUUUGCGGACUGCCUUCUGACAAGGUAUAUGAAAUUAGAGUACAGCAAUAGCUACGUACAUACAGGGCACAAGGCAAAGGAAAUUGCAAUCAAAAUCCAAUAAUUAGAAGAAUGGAUCUCAGCAGCCAGUCUUUCAAUUUGCCUCCAGGGGCCUGCAAUUCAUCUGAGAAAUCAGCAAUGUUGCUGCCAGCAGCACCACCACCAGCAUACCAGGACAAUCCUGCUGGAUAUCCUCACUCCUUUCCAAGCCAGCCAAUCCCCCAGGGCCCCUACACCCAGGGGUCGUAUCCAGGACAAACUGUGGUCGCUGUACAGCCUGCAGUUUUUGUGACUGCUGCUCCACUGGCCAAUCCAGUGCCAGAUUACUUGGGUUACUCCAUCUUUACCAUGCUGUGCUGCUGUUUACCUCUGGGAAUUGCUGCGCUGAUUUACUCCUGCUCUACUCGCACUGCUAACAGUACUGGACAGAGGACUAAAGCAGUGAGAAACUCUCAAAUUGCACUCGUCCUGAACCAUUUAGCCCUUGUGGUGGGCCUCAUCUUGACUGCAUCACUCAUCUUCUAUAAAUUGCAGAACAAAUGAUUGAAAAAUGUAUUAAGCAUAUUGAGUUUUGUACUCUCACAUGCAAUGUUUUCAUAAUGCUGACUGAAUAAUGCUGUACUGCGUUUAGCUAACUGAGACUUGUCAUAGCACUUGCAUAUCAUUGCUCUCUUGUUGAUCCAUUGUCUUCAUUUGUAAGUCGCUUUGGAUAAAAGUGUCUGCUAAAUGACUAAAUGUAAAUGAAUUAUUGUGAGAUUUUUUGUUCCGUUUUCAGAUUUUCAUAUUGCAUAAAAUAUAUUGUACUAUUAAUAUAUGCAAAAUCUUAUUUUUCAUAUUUUA
ensembl:lncRNA